AACCUUUACACUGCACGACAGUGCGAUAGGGGAAUCCCAAGUGCGUAGGCAUAGAGCCUACGCUUUUGUCCACCGUAGGGAGGUGGACGAAUAAGGGCUGGGCAAGACCGGUGCCAGCCGCCGCGGUAAUACCGGCAGCCCGAGUGAUGGCCGAUCUUAUUGGGCCUAAAGCGUCCGUAGCUGGCCGCGCAAGUCUAUCGGAAAAUCCACCCGCUCAACGGGUGGGCGUCCGGUAGAAACUGCGUGGCUUGGGACCGGAAGGCGCGACGGGUACGUCCGGGGUAGGGGUGAAAUCCCGUAAUCCUGGACGGACCGCCGAUGGCGAAAGCACGUCGCGAAGACGGGUCCGACAGUGAGGGACGAAAGCUAGGGUCUCGAACCGGAUUAGACACCCGGGUAGUCCUAGCCGUAAACAAUGCCUGCUAGGUGUGGCUCCCACUACGAGUGGGUGCUGUGCCGUAGGGAAGCCGCUAAGCAGGCCGCCUGGGAAGUACGUCCGCAAGGAUGAAACUUAA
rnacentral:rRNA from 1 species